rnacentral:rRNA from 1 species
GACGAACGUUGGCGGCGUGCCUAAUACAUGCAAGUAGAACGCUGAAGAGAGGAGCUUGCUCUUCUUGGAUGAGUUGCGAACGGGUGAGUAACGCGUAGGUAACCUGCCUUGUAGCGGGGGAUAACUAUUGGAAACGAUAGCUAAUACCGCAUAACAAUGGAUGACACAUGUCAUUUAUUUGAAAGGGGCAAUUGCUCCACUACAAGAUGGACCUGCGUUGUAUUAGCUAGUAGGUGAGGUAAUGGCUCACCUAGGCGACGAUACAUAGCCGACCUGAGAGGGUGAUCGGCCACACUGGGACUGAGACACGGCCCAGACUCCUACGGGAGGCAGCAGUAGGGAAUCUUCGGCAAUGGGGGCAACCCUGACCGAGCAACGCCGCGUGAGUGAAGAAGGUUUUCGGAUCGUAAAGCUCUGUUGUAAGUCAAGAACGGGUGUGAGAGUGGAAAGUUCACACUGUGACGGUAGCUUACCAGAAAGGGACGGCUAACUACGUGCCAGCAGCCGCGGUAAUACGUAGGUCCCGAGCGUUGUCCGGAUUUAUUGGGCGUAAAGCGAGCGCAGGCGGUUUGAUAAGUCUGAAGUUAAAGGCUGUGGCUCAACCAUAGUUCGCUUUGGAAACUGUCAAACUUGAGUGCAGAAGGGGAGAGUGGAAUUCCAUGUGUAGCGGUGAAAUGCGUAGAUAUAUGGAGGAACACCGGUGGCGAAAGCGGCUCUCUGGUCUGUAACUGACGCUGAGGCUCGAAAGCGUGGGGAGCGAACAGGAUUAGAUACCCUGGUAGUCCACGCCGUAAACGAUGAGUGCUAGGUGUUGGAUCCUUUCCGGGAUUCAGUGCCGCAGCUAACGCAUUAAGCACUCCGCCUGGGGAGUACGACCGCAAGGUUGAAACUCAAAGGAAUUGACGGGGGCCCGCACAAGCGGUGGAGCAUGUGGUUUAAUUCGAAGCAACGCGAAGAACCUUACCAGGUCUUGACAUCCCGAUGCUAUUUCUAGAGAUAGAAAGUUACUUCGGUACAUCGGUGACAGGUGGUGCAUGGUUGUCGUCAGCUCGUGUCGUGAGAUGUUGUGUUAAGUCCCGCAACGAGCGCAACCCCUAUUGUUAGUUGCCAUCAUUCAGUUGGGCACUCUAGCGAGACUGCCGGUAAUAAACCGGAGGAAGGUGGGGAUGACGUCAAAUCAUCAUGCCCCUUAUGACCUGGGCUACACACGUGCUACAAUGGUUGGUACAACGAGUUGCGAGUCGGUGACGGCGAGCUAAUCUCUUAAAGCCAAUCUCAGUUCGGAUUGUAGGCUGCAACUCGCCUACAUGAAGUCGGAAUCGCUAGUAACCGCGGAUCAGCACGCCGCGGUGAAUACGUUCCCGGGCCU